rnacentral:lncRNA from 10 species
UUAAAAUUGUUUAAUGCAUGUACUUUAUUAGAAUGAUAUUUUGAACACUGAGAUAAUGUGAUUUCAUUCUGCUCACAGUUACUCUAGUACACAGAUUUAAAACAAUGGUCAAAGCAGCAAUUACAUUAACUCACUGCAGGAGUCAUUAUACACUCAGGUAGUACUUUGGUAAAUUACAAAACAAAUGUACACAAGGGCACUUCAGUAGAAAUUAAAUCAGUUUGGGGACACAUCAGGCUGCUAAAUUCUGUACUAGAAUCCAACAGCAAAUGAGUCAUUCUUGGAAGUGGAAGAACUCCAUGAUUUCACAGCCUAGAACACUAAGUAUGACCACCAACGCACCAUUUCAACUAUCUAACAACCAAUGGGAGAGUCAAUUGUUCUCAUCCCAACUGCCAAAAGCAAAAGGCAGGCCAUCACAAGUUGGCUUGUUCACCUUCUAAAGACAUGACUUUAUUUCUGCCUAAGUCAUCUAUAUAAGCGAAUCUAAUAAAUACAAUAAAAUGUAACCCAACAAAAUUCUCAUGUCACUUUUUACAGACAUGGGUAUAUGAGAACCAUGGAGGUGCUAAAGAAAAAUAGAAGCAUUUUCUUAUUAUCAUAUUACCAUGAAAUUAAAUUUAUGUCUGUUCUAAGGAAAGAAACUAAAUGUCCUGUUUGAUAUUGAUGAGUAGGCCUACUCAUUCUCUACCAAAAUCCUAAAAAAAAUAAAAAUAAAAUUUCACUUAAAAAAUAAUUUCCUAGGAGGGCACAGUGCUGUAAUCCCAGCAAUUUGGGAGGAUUACAGGCUUGAGCCACCGCGCCUGGCUGAAACCUGCAUCUUCAGAAUGUCAUUUUUGUGCGUUAGUUUUCCUUUGCCUGUUGGUUUGGAAAUUCUCCAUGUUCCUAAAGGUAGCUUCCACAUUUCUGUUCCAAGAACUGAUUAGAAAAAGCAAGAUGGUUUCCCGCUUUAGUUGCCUCCCUUUGGUUCCUCACCUCUCAGACAACAAACAGAAUGUUAACAGUCUUUCCUGUGAUGUUUUUCCUUCUUUCACCUAACUUCCCUUGAAAAAAAAAAUCAAAAUAUUUAUUUAGCACUUUUUUCAAAGGGCAAUUCCUGAUUAAUAUAGGCAGAAAAACUCAAGAUUUAUCUUCUUCCAUUUCCAAAAAGGUAAGAAGAUGUAAAUAUUUAUAUUGGGCCCUCUCCCUCCUCAUACAUUUUUACCCAAAGCUUAAAGAAAAAAAAAAAAGUCAACUCAAAACACAGUUGAAGGUAUAUACUACAUCAACUUUUUCUUUUGUUUCUGCCACAGAAUUCCAUGUCAUUCUUAAGAUUCAGUAUUUUUCUCACAUCCUAUUACUUUAUAUACAAAUUGCCAUAUAGCAAUUUUUAACCUAUUUCCUCAUCUGCUGAUAAUCACUGGGUCUCCACUAUAAGAAAAUUGCCCCUAGUUUGUCAAGAGUCCUUAAAAAUAACGUAUCAAUAAUUUAAAACUGGUGAAAGAGCUAUGCAAGAUUGUUCCCUUUAAUUUUAUAUUACUCUAAAAUAUACAUAUGUACACAUACUCACACAUAUAACAAAUUUACAUAGUUUGCAGAAAUAAACUACGGAAAUAAUUCCAAAUACACAUUUAGAAAUUCACAUUUUAACAGCAAACUUACAUGCAGAUAAAGAGAAGUAUAGUUUUAUACUUCCUAAGUUACACAGCAAGCUGAAAUGGAGAAUGUUUUAAUGGUCAUUUUAGAUUUAUUCUUUCUCCUAAGUCUUAGAAAAUGAGCAAAAAGGAGACAUAAAACUCAAGCUAUGUCUAUAGCAGUAUCAGUCAAUGUGGUAUUAUUUUUAUUAACAAAUUAUUCAAUUGCUUACUCUAUACAAAAAGUGAUAUACACAUACUAUAAUACUAUAUGCAAAACACAAAAUAGCGUUAGAGAUAACAAAUGAGAACUUCAUACAAAAUACUUGAUUCCAUCAGUAUUUAACUUUUGACCGGAAGACUCAGCCUGUGCAUUCUUUUCUGAUAUUAAGGAAUAGUCACAUUUUUACAGUAUUCUUAACUACAGAAAAAUAGGAAUAAAUGGAGGGGAGGGCUGAUGAGACAGCUGAAAUACACAUUUAUAAAUAUGUAUACAAUUUAGUAAUGUCACAUCAUCUGAAUUAAUUUCUUUUCUUUCUUUUUUUUUUUUUUUUUGAGAUGGAGUUUUUCGCUCUUGCUGCCCAGGCUGGAGUGCAAUGGCAUGAUCUCAGCUCACUGCAACCCCCAUCUCCUGGGUUCAAGUGAUUCCUCUUUCCUCAGCCUCCCGAGUAGCUGGGAUUACAGGUGUCUGCCACCACGCCCAGCCAAUUUUUUUUUUUUUUUUUUUUUUUUUUUUGGAUUUUUACUAGAGACAGGGUUUCACCAUGUUGGCCAGGCUGGUCUUGAAUUCCUGACCUCAGAUGAUCUACCCACCUUGGCCUCUCAAAGUGCUGGGAUUACAGGCAUGAGCCACUGUGCCUGGCCAAAUUAAUUUCUUUUGCAUGGUUGCUUUCACCAGUAAGUGGUCCAGAAUACAAAAUAUGGUAACAGAGAACUGUUUUCAUACUUAUUCCUUGGUACAGUUAUUAAAAAUAAAAACUCGCAUUUUAGGAUUAGGGAAGUCUGGAAAAAAAUUUUUUUAAACUUGGAGAUCACAUAUUGAAUAGCUGUCAAAAUUCAAACUGACUAGUUUUGAAGAACUUCAAAAACGUGUUCAAAUGAA